UACGAAGGGGGCUAGCGUUGCUCGGAAUCACUGGGCGUAAAGGGUGCGUAGGCGGGUCUUUAAGUCAGGGGUGAAAUCCUGGAGCUCAACUCCAGAACUGCCUUUGAUACUGAAGAUCUUGAGUUCGGGAGAGGUGAGUGGAACUGCGAGUGUAGUGGUGAAAUGCGUAGAUAUCGGGAGGAACACCAGUGGCGAAGGCGACUACCUGGCCCAUUCUUGACGCUGAGGCGCGAAAGCUAGGGGAGCGAACGGG
rnacentral:rRNA from 1 species